AACAGCCAUGGACACAGAGGGCCAGUGCCAGGGUUUCCUAAUAACUUUGCCAUUGCCCAAUACAUUAGUGCUUUUAUGUACUUCGUGCAUUACUGCUAGUCCCCAUGAAUAAUAUACA
rfam:Homo sapiens chromosome 16, GRCh38 reference primary assembly.